GUAAAAGUCGUAACAAGGUCUCCGUUGGUGAACCAGCGGAGGGAUCAUUACCGAGUUUACAACUCCCAAACCCCUGUGAACAUACCACUUGUUGCCUCGGCGGAUCAGCCCGCUCCCGGUAAAACGGGACGGCCCGCCAGAGGACCCCUAAACUCUGUUUCUAUAUGUAACUUCUGAGUAAAACCAUAAAUAAAUCAAAACUUUCAACAACGGAUCUCUUGGUUCUGGCAUCGAUGAAGAACGCAGCAAAAUGCGAUAAGUAAUGUGAAUUGCAGAAUUCAGUGAAUCAUCGAAUCUUUGAACGCACAUUGCGCCCGCCAGUAUUCUGGCGGGCAUGCCUGUUCGAGCGUCAUUUCAACCCUCAAGCACAGCUUGGUGUUGGGACUCGCGUUAAUUCGCGUUCCCCAAAUUGAUUGGCGGUCACGUCGAGCUUCCAUAGCGUAGUAGUAAAACCCUCGUUACUGGUAAUCGUCGCGGCCACGCCGUUAAACCCCAACUUCUGAAUGUUGACCUCGGAUCAGGUAGGAAUACCCGCUGAACUUAAGCA
rnacentral:rRNA from 1 species